GACGAACGCUGGCGGCGUGCUUAACACAUGCAAGUCGAACGGAAAGGCCCUGCUUUUGUGGGGUGCUCGAGUGGCGAACGGGUGAGUAACACGUGAGUAACCUGCCCUUGACUUUGGGAUAACUUCAGGAAACUGGGGCUAAUACCGGAUAGGAGCUCCUGCUGCAUGGUGGGGGUUGGAAAGUUUCGGCGGUUGGGGAUGGACUCGCGGCUUAUCAGCUUGUUGGUGGGGUAGUGGCUUACCAAGGCUUUGACGGGUAGCCGGCCUGGGAGGGUGACCGGCCACAUUGGGACUGGGAUACGGCCCAGACUCCUACGGGAGGCAGCAGUGGGGAAUAUUGCACGAUGGGCGGAAGCCUGAUGCAGCAACGCCGCGUGCGGGAUGACGGCCUUCGGGUUGUAAACCGCUUUCGCCUGUGACGAAGCGUGAGUGACGGUAAUGGGGAAAGAAGCACCGGCUAACUACGU
rnacentral:rRNA from 1 species